GAUGAACCUCACUUGUGGGGGGAUUAGUGGCGAACGGGUGAGUAACACGUGAGUAACCUGCCCUUGACUCUGGGAUAAGCCUGGGAAACCGGGUCUAAUACUGGAUACGACCUUCCCGCGCAUGCGGUGUUGGUGGAAAGCUUUUGUGGUUUUGGAUGGACUCGCGGCCUAUCAGCUUGUUGGUGGGGUAAUGGCCUACCAAGGCGACGACGGGUAGCCGGCCUGAGAGGGUGACCGGCCACACUGGGACUGAGACACGGCCCAGACUCCUACGGGAGGCAGCAGUGGGGAAUAUUGCACAAUGGGCGCAAGCCUGAUGCAGCGACGCCGCGUGAGGGAUGAAGGCCUUCGGGUUGUAAACCUCUUUCAGUAGGGAAGAAGCUGAUUCCUUUUGGGGUUGGUGACGGUACCUGCAGAAGAAGCGCCGGCUAACUACGUGCCAGCAGCCGCGGUAAUACGUAGGGCGCAAGCGUUAUCCGGAAUUAUUGGGCGUAAAGAGCUCGUAGGCGGUUUGUCGCGUCUGCCGUGAAAGUCCGGGGCUUAACUCCGGAUCUGCGGUGGGUACGGGCAGACUAGAGUGCAGUAGGGGAGACUGGAAUUCCUGGUGUAGCGGUGAAAUGCGCAGAUAUCAGGAGGAACACCGAUGGCGAAGGCAGGUCUCUGGGCUGUAACUGACGCUGAGGAGCGAAAGCAUGGGGAGCGAAC
rnacentral:rRNA from 1 species